rnacentral:misc_RNA from 1 species
AAAAAAAAAAAAAAACCCUCCAAAAUCUUGUUAACGAGAACAAAAGGCAUAGGGAAGUUUAAGAAGAAUCCACCUUAGUUAAGGAGCAUAAAAAGAGACUAGACAAACAAAAGGCAUUUCACUCAGAAAAAAAAAAGAGGAGCUUGCAGUGUCAGCAACAUGUACUAUUGUAUAAGAUGACAAGCAAAGUAGUUUAAAUUACCAUCAGAACUAAUCAUCAUAUUUUUUUGCUGAAUAGUACAUGCUAACUACAUCACAUGUACGUAAUGCCUUAACUCAUUCGAUUGGUAACUAUAUGGGAAAAUAUUACCUGUACAUCGCUGCUAUUAGGGCA